CGCCAGACUCCUACGGGAGGCAGCAGUGGGGAAUAUUGGGCAAUGGAGGAAACUCUGACCCAGCAACGCCGCGUGAAUGAUGAAGGUCUUCGGAUUGUAAAGUUCUUUUCUAAGGGAAGAAGAAAGUGACGGUACCUUAGGAAUAAGCCUCGGCUAACUACGUGCCAGCAGCCGCGGUAAUACGGAGGGUGCAAGCGUUACUCGGAAUCACUGGGCGUAAAGAGCGCGUAGGCGGGAUAGCAAGUCAGAUGUGAAAUCCUAUGGCUUAACCAUAGAACUGCAUUUGAAACUGUUAUUCUAGAGUAUGGGAGAGGUAGGUGGAAUUCUUGGUGUAGGGGUAAAAUCCGUAGAGAUCAAGAGGAAUACUCAUUGCGAAGGCGACCUGCCAGAACAUAACUGACGCUGAUGCGCGAAAGCGUGGGGAGCAAACAGGAUUAGAUACCCCAGUA
rnacentral:rRNA from 1 species